rnacentral:ncRNA from 2 species
UUAUCAAUAGGCGAUGGAGUUCGCCAUUAACCGCGUAAGCUAAUGACUCCUACUCUUUA